AAUGUUUCUUUUUUCUUUCAGACUUAUUGUCCAACUAACUCAUUUCAUGUGAAAACCCUAAACUGUCUUCAUUACUAGUUUAUAAGCAUAGAAGGAGCUGGAGAAUUCUGAGUAUCAAAAUGAAGUACCAAAGCACAUGCAUGACCAGACUGAAAGAUGGUUGUGUUCUGUACAGCGGCCAUAUUCUGAUGGAUUCUGGAAGACAGAGGGAUGAGACAAGCGGCUGCUGGAGUAUCUCCAACAGUCUCGGAAGCCACAAGUUGAAGAUGGUAGAGACACCAGAUGGAAAGAAGUUGCAUCCCUGAGUUGCUGCUUAGAUGAGAACUGCCUACUCAUCAGGGGCACCUGUUUGGGACUUUAAUCAAUUCUCUACCAUCGGCCUCCAACUGUCUUCUCAACCCAGAGGAGACUUGACCUUUAGAUGGGAGACUGGAGAAGAUCACCUGGGUUGGGAUCCUCCCAACCAGAAGAUUGUCUAAUUGCAUGAUGUACUUCCACUGCUGCCAGAUUUCUAGAAGCAGUUUUCCACACUUGGUGUUCUCACCUCCACCUCGGUCUUCAGCAUCACCUGGCUUCUGGCUCCAUCACACCAGCAGAAGGCUCCCGCAAAGGUCAUCAUUGACAUCUCCAUGAUGGGACCCAAAGGCUGCUUUAAGUCCUUGCCUAGGUAAUUCAGAUUCUACAGCACUGCUGACCAUUCCCUCCUUUUCCUCCUGACUUUUGUGACUCAGCAUUCUCCCGGUUUCCCAUGGAUCUCCUAGCCAUUCCUUCUUUGUCUCCUUUGCAACUUCUUCCUCCUCUACCAUGCCAUUAAGCAUCAGAAUUCUCAACUCUUUGCUCUAGUACCUCUUCAUUUUCUGCUCUGUGUUUCUCUCCAGGCCAGUGGCACUCAAAUGUAGCUGCACCUGGAGAAUCACACUUAAAUACUUCUCUAAAAAAGUAAACGAAGAAUUUAUGGGGGUGGAGCUCUUAGUGUGUUCCAAAGUUUUAAGGAUUUAUGGGAAUGAAUAUUUGGAAAUUGGGAAACCUGGUUCUUGGAAGCAAAGACUGAUAAAAGGCAACUCAUAAUCCAAGAUUGCACUUGUUUUUCAAGGGACUUUAUUUUUUGAGAGCAGUUCUAUAUUUGUUUCAAAAUUGAGCAGAAAGUACAGUUUCCAUAUACCUUCUUUCCCCACAAAUGCAUAACCUCCCCAUUGUCAGCGUCCUCCACUAGAGUGGUAUAAUCCAUGAGCCUGCACUGACACAUCAUCACCACCCAUAGUCCACAGUUUACAUAUGAUUCAUUCUUGAUGUCGUGUAGUCAUAGGGUUUGACAAAUGUAUAAUGAAAUGUAUCUGUUAUUAUAGUGUCAUACAGAAUGGUUUCACUGCAUCAAAAUUAAUCUGUGUUCUGCCUAUUUACCUCUCCUUCCUCCCUAAUCCCUGACAACCACUAACUUACUUACUGUCUCCCAAAUUUUCCUUUUUUUUUUCAGAAUUUUAUAUAGUUGGAACCAUAGGAUAUUAGCCAGAAUGGCCUCUUUCACUUAGUCAUAUGCAUGUAAGGUUCUUUCAUGUAUUUUCAGGGCUCGAUGGUUCAU